GACGAACGCUGGCGGCGUGCCUAACACAUGCAAGUCGAGCGAAUGAAGUUCCUUCGGGAACGGAUUUAGCGGCGGACGGGUGAGUAACACGUGGGCAACCUGCCUCAUAGAGGGGAAUAGCCUUCCGAAAGGGAGAUUAAUACCGCAUAAGAUUGUAGUACCGCAUGGUACAGCAAUUAAAGGAGCAAUCCGCUAUGAGAUGGGCCCGCGGCGCAUUAGCUAGUUGGUGAGGUAACGGCUCACCAAGGCGACGAUGCGUAGCCGACCUGAGAGGGUGAUCGGCCACAUUGGGACUGAGACACGGCCCAGACUCCUACGGGAGGCAGCAGUGGGGAAUAUUGCACAAUGGGGGAAACCCUGAUGCAGCAACGCCGCGUGAGUGAUGACGGCCUUCGGUUGUAAAGCUCUGUCUUCUAGGACGGAUAAUGACGGUACCUGAGGAGGAAGCCGACGGCUAACUACGUGCCAGCAGCCGCGGUAAAGUACACGUACGCG
rnacentral:rRNA from 1 species